CACGUAGGGCGCAAGCGUUGUCCGGAAUUAUUGGGCGUAAAGAGCUCGUAGGCGGUCUGUUACGUCUGCUGUGAAAACCCUGGGCUUAACCCUGGGCUUGCAGUGGAUACGGGCAGACUAGAGGCAGGUAGGGGAGAAUGGAAUUCCCGGUGUAGCGGUGAAAUGCGCAGAUAUCGGGAGGAACACCGGUGGCGAAGGCGGUUCUCUGGACAGUUCCUGACGCUGAGGCGCGAAGGCCAGGGGAGCAAACGGG
rnacentral:rRNA from 1 species